rnacentral:rRNA from 1 species
UACGUAGGGUGCGAGCGUUGUCCGGAAUUAUUGGGCGUAAAGAGCUCGUAGGCGGUCUGUCGCGUCGGUCGUGAAGACUUGGGGCUUAACCCUGAGCUUGCGGUCGAUACGGGCAUGACUGGAGUUCGGCAGGGGAGACUGGAAUUCCUGGUGUAGCGGUGAAAUGCGCAGAUAUCAGGAGGAACACCGGUGGCGAAGGCGGGUAUCUGGGCCGAUACUGACGCUGAGGAGCGAAAGCGUGGGGAGCGAACAGG